rnacentral:rRNA from 1 species
GGUAAUGGCUUAACAAGACUAUGACGGAUAACGGUAUUACUUUGUAAUAUUCCGGAGAAGGAGCUGAGAGAUUGCUACUAAGUCUAAGGAUUGCAGCAGGGGCGAAACUUGACCUAUGAUAUUAUAUUGAGGCAGUUAUGAGUAGUAUUUUAUAAUUAUUGUAGUAUUCUAAGUACAUAUUACAAGAUAAAUCGGAGGGCAAAUCGAGUGCCAGCAGCCGCGGUAAUACUUGUUCCGAUAGUGUGUAUGAUGAUUGAUGCAGUUAAAAAGUCUGUAGUUUAUUUAUAAUAAGCAUUGUAAGGUAUACUGUAUGGUUAGGAGAGAGAUGAAAUGUGAUAACCCUAACUGGAUGAACAGAAGCGAAAGCUGUAUACUUAAAUGUAUUAUUAGAACAAGGACGUAAGCUAGAGGAUCGAAGAUGAUUAGAUACCAUUGUAGUUCUAGCAGUAAACUAUGUUGAAUCAUAGAUAUAUUUUGAUAUAUGUUUAUGUAGAGAAAUUAAGAUUAUAUUGACUCUGGGGAUAGUAUGAUCGCAAGAUUGAAAAUUAAAGAAAUUGACGGAAGAAUACCACAAGGAGUGGAUUGUGCGGCUUAAUUUGACUCAACGCGGGGUAAUUUACCAGGUAUAACAUGGUAUAAUAUUUUAUCAUGGUAGUGGUGCAUGGCCGUUUCCAAUGGAUGCUGUGAAGUAAUGAUUAAUUUCAACAAGAUGUGAGACCCUCAUUUAGACAGAUGUAGUGAUACAUAUGAAGGAGAGGAUUAAAACAGGUCCGUUAUGCCCUAAGAUAAUCUGGGUUGCACGCGCAAUACAAUAAUAUUUGAUAUUAUAAGGGAUAAUAUAAUGUAAGAUAUAUUUGAACACGGAAUUGCUAGUAAAUUUUAUUUAAUAAGUAGAAUUGAAUGAGUCCCUGUUCUUUGUACACA